ACCUUUGUGUAUUUUUUGGGGGAAGAAAAAGUAAUUCUGUUUUAACAUAACUGACUUGUAGGUGAACUUCUGGACAACAGUGUUUUUCUCAAUUAGGAACUGCCUACGCUGUACUUUCUCUGCAGACUUCUCAUAAAUCAGUGAGCUUCUAAAUCCGAGGUCUACCUCCCAUGUAUGUCAGGAACACUGUCUAUCUUUAGAAUUUUUUUCAUGUGCAUACCAAACACAUGUAUAAUUUUAUCCUUUCAAAACGUUAUAAACAUCAUUCAUUUAUAAAUAGAGAUUCAGAUUCAGAAAAGAUAAGUGACUUAACAAGGGCGUAUAGCUAGUUGAAAUUUAAAUUCAGGUUAUCAGACUCUCUAGUCCAUGCUUUUUUUUAUUGCUAUCAUGCUUCCUCCUGGGUGAUUAAACAUACUUUUGUAGCCCUGGGCUUCCUUAUAUUGGGGCAUCUUUAUUCAGGCAAUUCUCCUGCCUCAGCCUCUUGGAGCAGCUGGGACGACAGGCACAUGCACCACGCCCAGCUAAUUUUUGUAUUUUUGAUAGAGAUGGGGUAUCACCAUGUUGGCCAGGCUGGUCUCGAACUCCUGAGCUCAAGUUAUUUGCUGGGAUUACAGGCAUGAGCCACCAUGCCCAGCCCGAUUUUUUUUUUUUUUUUUGCGGGGGACAGAGUCUCACUCUGUUGCCAGGCUGGAAUGCUGUGGCGCGAUCUUGGCUCACUGCAACCUCCGCCUCCCUGGUUCAAGUGAUUCUCCUGUCUCAGACUCCUGAGUAGCUGGGAUUAUAGGCUGGUUCCACCACACCCAGCUAAUUUUUGUAUUUUUAGUAGAGACAGGGUUUCACCAUGUUGGCCAGGAUGGUCUGGAUCUCCUGACCUCGUGAUCCGCCCACCUCGGCCUCCCAAAGUGCUGGGAUUACAGGCAUGAGCCACCGCGCCCGGCCUAUUUAUGUGUUUUAAUUGCCAGAAGUUAAUUGUUUUUGAGGGGGGUUGGCUAAUAGUAGGCUGUUUUGUGAAGGAGU
rnacentral:lncRNA from 1 species